GUCCGGUCCAAUCCUCUAUAUCAGUAGGUGGAAGGUCCAAGGCCUGCAGGAAGUACCUCCAUUGGGUCGCUGAUAGAGUAGGUCUUGCCUUGCUGUGUCACCACCAGGGCGAAAGGGAAAGUCCAGCCGAAUUUUAUGUUUGUUCAGUAGGAUUUGGGUGAUAGGCUGGAGCGUUCUCCUGGCUAGAAGCGUUGCCGGAGAGAGGUCCUGGUAAAUGUCCACUCUGUGGCCCUUAUAUUGCAAUUUACUGGAUUGACGGGCCCUCCGGUAGAUCUCUUCCUUCAAUGGGAAGUUAUGAAUAUGACAUAUAAGG